GAUGAAGAACGUAGCGAAAUGCGAUAAGUAGUGUGAAUUGCAGACUUUAGUGAAUCAUCGAAUCUUUGAACGCACAUUGCGCCCCAUGGUAUUCCGUGGGGCAUGCCUGUUCGAGCGUCAUUUACCCCCUCAAGCUCCGCUUGGUGUUGGGCGUCUGUCCCGCUUCGCGCGCGGACUCGCCCCAAAGGUAUUGGCAGCGGUCGUGCCAGCUUCUCGCGCAGCACAUUGCGCUUCUCGAGGCACCGGUGGGCCCGCGUCCAUCAAGCUCACCCCCCCAGUUUGACCUCGGAUCAGGUAGGGAUACCCGCUGAACUUAAGCAUAUCAAUAAGCGGAGGA
rnacentral:misc_RNA from 1 species